rnacentral:rRNA from 1 species
UACGUAGGGUGCAAGCGUUGUCCGGAAUUAUUGGGCGUAAAGAGCUCGUAGGCGGUCUGUCGCGUCGGCUGUGAAAACCCGGAGCUCAACUCCGGGCCUGCAGUCGAUACGGGCAGACUGGAGUUCGGCAGGGGAGACUGGAAUUCCUGGUGUAGCGGUGAAAUGCGCAGAUAUCAGGAGGAACACCGGUGGCGAAGGCGGCGAGCUGGUCCAUUACUGACGCUGAGGCGCGACAGCGUGGGGAGCAAACAGG